rnacentral:lncRNA from 1 species
CAAAACUAAGAAAGAUAGGAAAAGUUAGGAAAUACACUUUCUUGCUCUUAGAAAUCUACAACUAUUGCCCAUAUUUGUAUCAUUCAUUAAAGGAAGGAAAAAUGAGAAAAUUUAACAAUGAGUACUUGUUUGUUUAAGAAUGUGAAGCAUUUAAAAAGCGUAAAAUAAGAAUAAAACUAUCCAAGGACCCUCCAACACACUUAGAGAACUCUUGGAGCUGAGAGACCUACUUAGCCCGAAAGCUGCUCUGUCUCCUGAACACAAGCAAAGAACUAAGGCAAUCACUUAGAGGAUCUACUGGGGGAGAACACUGAUGCUUGUGGCUAGGAGAGACUUUAGAGGUAGAUGGCUUAAUCUCAGAAGGUCUCACUCUUCAAAAAUUUUAGAGACAGGGGCCCUUUAAGACAGAGUAGACCAGAAAAGACCAGAUCUCCCUAGGUGCAAAAGGACUUUAAUUGUAGAAAUCCCACUGCUGCAACGGAUUCACUACUGGACAAAUAUUUACUGCACACUCACUAUGUUCUAGGCGUUGUGCUAGGUGCUGGAGUGACAGUACCUAGCCAAUGAGCAAGAAAAUACAGGCCAGACCUAUGACAGCUUAGUCUUGAGAGGGAAUUGGGCACAGAACAAGUAACUGGAUAGCCAUUAAGGAGUCCGUUGAACCGUGUGUUGGAUUAACGGGGGUUGUUGUAGGGAAACACCCUGAAGAGAGAUUUAAGUCUUGUUUGUCUUCCCAAUUGUUUGCCUAAAUCCUCUAACAUUUCUUUCCUUCACCUGAUAUUCCACAAACAGCUGUUGGGCAUUUAUGUGGGGGUAGGCAUUUGGCUGAAGAGCGGGCUUCACCCUGGGAAUAAAAGAUGGGUAAGAUAUUGAGUUCUUCUGCUCGAGAGGAAGAUGCCUAAAGAUCACAAGGCCUGCGAGACCAUAAGUAUAAGAGCAAUCUUGCUCACCCCACCAACUCAACCGUCCAGAGCAGCCUGCUUGGUGCUUCGGCCUCGGAGUCCUCCUGAGGCCUGCCUUGCCUACCUGUCCCCUCGGAGGAUCACUCAAUUCCACUCCCGUCACUCAAGCUGGGAUGAGCUCUGCUUUACUCAGGAAAAUUUGCUGAACAUCUCCUGGGCCAGAGUUACACACCACUACUUGAACGCAUGGCUUCUCCAGCUGAGUCCCUCCCUUCCGUGGUGAAGCGCUCCUGGUCUAGUUCUGCUGUCCCCUCAGUAAGCUGGGAUUCCUGUGUACCUAGCAGAUCUUUGGGAAAUACAGUGUUUUUCCAAAUUUUGGAAGGAGGAAUGCAAUAAUUAUUUGGGGGAAAUGAGAGACUAUUUUUUGCCUACAGAGUAGCCCCACAUGGACACCAUUCAAUGUUGCAAACUGGCCUGCAAGACAUUUUUUUUUAAAGAAACUCUACCUCAUAGUUUAACAAAUAUAUGGCCUAAAACAGAGUUUUCCAACUGAGUCACUCAAUUAGUAGGAUGUGAAAUCAAAUGAAUUUUUCCAGGACUUU